rnacentral:lncRNA from 1 species
AGCCACCAACGGCCAAUCUCGACAAAAACGGCCAUAAUAGGCCCGUAAAAUGUUCGAAAGCCAUACUCGGCCAGACAUACAUGGACAAAGGCCACACUCGACCGCUGGAUACUAGAUAAAGGGAAAAACUAAUUAAAACCCUCACAGAUCAAAAUUAAAACUCCCGGACAAGGAGGCUCCGAAUGCAUCCGCGGGAAAGUUCACAUCCU